rnacentral:rRNA from 1 species
GCACAAGCGGCGGAGCAUGCGGAUUAAUUCGAUGCAACGCGAAGAACCUUACCAAGGCUUGACAUACACGGUAACGCCCAGAGAUGGGUGCCCCUUUGUGGUCGGUGUACAGGUGGUGCAUGGUUGUCGUCAGCUCGUGUCGUGAGAUGUUGGGUUAAGUCCCGCAACGAGCGCAACCCUCGUCCUAUGUUGCCAGCGGGUCAUGCCGGGGACUCAUGGGAGACUGCCGGGGUCAACUCGGAGGAAGGUGGGAUGACGUCAAAUCAUCAUGCCCCUUAUGUCUUGGGCUUCACGCAUGCUACAAUGGCCGGUACAAAGGGCUGCGAUACCGCGAGGUGGAGCGAAUCCCAGAAAGCCGGUCUCAGUUCGGAUUGGGGUCUGCAACUCGACCCCAUGAAGUCGGAGUCGCUAGUAAUCGCAGAUCAGCAACGCUGCGGUGAAUACGUUCCCGGGCCUU